rnacentral:tRNA from 2 species
GGCGGCGUGGCCGAGUGGUUAGGCAGGGGCCUGCAAAGCCCUCCACCCCGGUUCGAAUCCGGGCGCCGCCUCCA